GUGGGGAAUCUUGCGCAAUGGUCUAACGACUGACGCAGCGACGCCGCGUGUGGGAGGACGCCUUUCGGGGUGUAAACCACUGUUGCCCGGGACGAACAAGCGGUUUCGACCGCUCUGACGGUACCGGGUGAGGAAGCACCGGCUAACUCCGUGCCAGCAGCCGCGGUAAUACGGAGGGUGCGAGCGUUGUCCGGAAUCAUUGGGCGUAAAGGGCGCGUAGGUGGCCCAGUAAGCGUGCGGUGAAAGCUCGGGGCUCAACCCCGAGUCGGCCGUGCGAACUGCUGGGCUCGAGCACUGUAGAGGCAGGCGGAAUUCCGGGUGUAGCGGUGGAAUGCGUAGAGAUCCGGAAGAACACCGGUGGCGAAGGCGGCCUGCUGGGCAGUAGCUGACACUGAGGCGCGACAGCGUGGGGAGCAAACAGGAUUAGAUACCCGUGUAGUCC
rnacentral:rRNA from 1 species